CACCCCCUCCUACAGCUACUGCGCAUGUGCAAGUGGCGCGCCGUGGGCUUGGCGCAGGCGCAGGCGCAGACGUGGCUCCACAUAAAUUUUUCCUUGGGCUGGUUUCCUGCAUGUCUUUUAAGUAUUUGCUUUUAGUUUCCGUGUUUUGGUGUUUUGUUUGUUCGUUUUUUUUUUUUUUUUGUUUUUACGACAAUGCCUUCUAGGGGAACAGUGUCGCUGGGCUGGGCGGUGGAGAGACACCUUUGGCACCAUCGUGCGAUCUCAUGCACCCUACCAGUGAUCAACCCUUUGAGUCUGGCUUAGCUCAGGCAGAAAUUGUAGUCUGCAAAAGAAACUGAGAAGAAGAGGGCAAGGAGAGUGUGGCAUCCCAAGACAUAAAGACUCAAAUCAAUGAGAGCAAGCAACUCUGUCAAAUUUCACCAGAAGUGAGGACUAAAUAUUGACUACCGAAUUUUGCAAGGUCCUUGUAAUAAAUGAUGAGAUGGAUUGACAACUGGAAUUAUCCCUAUUAUGGGUUGAAUGAUGCACUCCCAAAAGCUAUACUGAAGUCCUAAUCCUCAAUAUCUCAGAAUGAGAAGUUACUUGGAAAUAGAGUGGUUGCAGAUGUAAUUAGUCAAGAUGAGGUUACACUGGAGUAAGGUGAACCCUUAAUUCAAUAUGAGUGGCGCCCUUUUAAGAAGAGGACACAGAGACACACAGGAGAAUGCCAUGUGAUGACAGACAGAGCUUGGCAUGAUGCAGCUACAAGCCAAGGAACACGAAGGGUUGACAGCCAACACUAAAAGCUAGGAAGAGGCAAGGAAGGAUUCUUCUCUACAGAUUUUAGAGGGAGCAUGGCCCUCUUGACACUUUUGUAUUGGACUUCCAUCUUCUAAAACUGAAAGAAUGAAUUUCUAUCGUUUUAAGCCACCUAGUUGGUAGUAUAUUGUUCUGGAUGCCUCAGAAAACUAAUAAAAUCCCCUAUUUCUGGUCAGUAUGCUGAGGUUUGAAAAAGUUUAAUUGGCAAAUGUUAAUUGCCAAGAGCCUACUAUGUGCUGGGUGGUCUUCUAGGCCUUGGGUAUUCAGUUCUAAACCAAACAAAGUUAAAAUUGUACUCCGGGGCACAUGGCUUUUUAGAGACAAGUAAUAUGAAACCCCAGUCUCUAGGCUUCCAGAUCAGCAUUUCAGUUUUGGUUUAUUUCAAUUAUGUCCUCUCUAAGUAAGGAGUGACUCUAAUAUUGACAGUGCUUAUACUGACCAUGAAUGUGCCUGAGUCACAGACAUCUCAGUGAACUCCUUACUAAUGAACUUAUAUUUCCCCACAGAUACCUUACAUGUAUCAUUACAGCCUUUCUAGGCCUAAGAAUGGACACCCUUUCUCUUUUCCUUGACCCAGAAUUUGGGUUACAAAUAAUCCAAUGGGAGAGCAGCUAUUGAUGAUGGGGCAUUUCGGAACAGAGGGAGGAAAAGGGGAAUUCCAGAUUGCUACAAGAUUUCUAAUUGUGGGAUGGGUAUUUAAAGCCCUGUGAAAGGUUGGAAGUCACUGGCUAAGGAACUUCUGCAGAAUAGUCUCUUUGGAGCACCUGAACUUACUCUUCCAGGUAUGGGGAAGAACAGAUAAGGGCAGAGUGUGACCUGACUGCACCCCUCCACUACCCUGUCCCCUGAAAAACUACAGAGAUCAAAAUUUGGCCCCUCAGUUCCCUGGCGAUAAGGGCUAAAGGACUUGGUUCUUUCAUCACUUAAGGUAAAGAAAAAGUAAAAUAAGUGUGUACAGGAACCCUACUCCAUAAAUAAAACCAUCUAUAACAAUAGCCUUGAAAGACUUAUUUCAAGACCUUCUCCCUCCCUCCCACCUUGACAUUUUAAUGGGGCCGGCAGUUUGAGCUUCAUUGUAAUGGAAACCAGAAGACAAUCUUCAAAAGUGAAAGGCUACAAUGGAGGUCCCAGCAGCCUUUGUGUCUGAAUUUAUCAGCUUUGUCCUCAGCAAAUGGCAAUGUUGCCUGACAGGCAAUUACUGCUGUUCCUAAUUGUUUCCAUCAAACUCGGCUGUUUGAAAUACCUAGCGCCCCAUACCAAGCCAUGUUUCAGCCAACACUGUUUUCUUGGCUUUGAUUAAUGCUUUAUUUUUGGCACGCUGGUUUCUCUCUGGCAAUUGAGUCGUUCAGAGCUGUUAAACUUUCCAAAGACCCUCUCUGAUCAAAGCCAGAAGACAAUCUAAUUAGGUCCUGUCUUAAGUGGAAGAUUAGCAAAGCAGAGUGUCUCCUGUGCAGCUUGUCAGUACUUGGGGAGAAGAUGAAAGCUCUACUUAGAACUCUGCUCAUAGAUAUACAGUCCACAAUAGAGCUGCUUGACAGUGGCAUUUUCUUGAGUGCAUGUAGAAAUGGGUAUUCGUGUGGGGAACUCUGAGUCCCAUGAGAAAAGAUAAAUGGUCUUAUAUUUUAAAGUAUGUAAGUUUUGAUAGCUUGCUAUAGGAAGCAUAAUUUUUUUUCUUGACCUGAAAGGUUUCCAAUGUGAUUAAAUUAGAACUCUUAUUUCCCUCUACCCCACUUCAGUAGAGUUCACAACCAUCUUCUGUUACCAAUAUAUCUUAGUUCCCACCAGCUUGCACUUGGACUAGGAUCAUAGCUUUCUAACUGUUCUCACUGCUUCCUCCCUUGGCUCUCUCCAAUUCAUUCCCCGCAAGGCGGAGGAAUGUACUUUAAAAAAAUGUAUAUCCCAGAAAGAGCUACCUACUAUAUGGUCCUGUGUAUACGACAUUAUAGAAAAGGCCAAACUAGAAGGAAACAAUGUUUUCCAGGACUUUGGUCU